UACAGAGGUCUCGAGCGUUGUUCGGAUUCAUUGGGCGUAAAGGGCGCGUAGGCGGCGGGGUAAGUCUGGUGUGAAAUCUCGGAGCUCAACUCCGAAAUUGCACUGGAUACUGCUCUGCUAGAGGGCUGGAGAGGAGAUCGGAAUUCACGGUGUAGCAGUGAAAUGCGUAGAUAUCAGGAGGAACACCGAUGGCGAAGGCAGGUCUCUGGGCUGACACUGACGCUCAUGCACGAAAGCGUGGGGAGCAAACAGG
rnacentral:rRNA from 1 species